UACGUAGGGUGCAAGCGUUGUCCGGAAUUAUUGGGCGUAAAGAGCUCGUAGGCGGUCUGUCGCGUCUGCUGUGAAAACUCAGGGCUUAACCCUGAGCUUGCAGUGGGUACGGGCAGACUAGAGUGCGGUAGGGGAGACUGGAAUUCCUGGUGUAGCGGUGAAAUGCGCAGAUAUCAGGAGGAACACCGGUGGCGAAGGCGGAUCUCUGGGCCGUAACUGACGCUGAGGAGCGAAAGCAAGGGGAGCGAACAGG
rnacentral:rRNA from 1 species